rnacentral:sRNA from 5 species
AUAUCUCUCUGUACGGGAAGGAUGAGAAGCUUCGACUAAGGUUCGAUUCGAGCGCAGCGAGAAAGCGUUGCCGCAGGCAACGACCCGA